UUCGCAAUGCCCGAAAGGGUGACGAAGCGACGCCGCGUGGGUGAGGAAGGCCUUCGGGUUGUAAAGCCCUGUCAGGAGUUAAGAAAUAUAAGUGCGCUAAUAUCGCAUUUAUUUGACGAAGGCUCCAAAGGAAGCCACGGCUAACUCUGUGCCAGCAGCCGCGGUAAUACAGAGGUGGCAAGCGUUGUUCGGAAUUAUUGGGCGUAAAGAGCACGUAGGUGGGUUUGUAAGUCAGAUGUGAAAGCCUUCUGUUCAACGGAAGAAUUGCAUCUGAAACUACAAGCCUCGAGUGUAGGAGGGGAGAAUGGAACUUCUGGUGGAGCGGUGAAAUGCGUAGAUAUCAGAAGGAACGCCGGCGGCGAAAGCGAUUCUCUGGCCUAUUACUGACACUCAGUGUGCGAAAGCUAGGGGAGCAAACGGGAUUAGAUACCCCGGUAGUCCUAGCUGUAAACGAUGGGCACUAAGUAGAGGGGUUUU
rnacentral:rRNA from 1 species